CCGCAUUAAGCCAGGAUUUGCAAGAUUUCAAGUCCAUCCCAGGAGAAUGUGUACUACUUCAAUAUGUGGAUGAUUUAUUGAUAGCAGCUGUUACUAAAGAGAUAUGCCAACAAGCCACUUAUGAUUUGCUUCAUAUUCUAUGGAGAGCAGGAUACAAGGUAUCGAGGAAGAAAGCACAAUUGUGCCAGCCAAGUGUUAAAUAUUUA